rnacentral:rRNA from 1 species
GUGUCAGCCGCCGCGGUAAAACGUAGGAGCCAAGCGUUAUCCGAAUUCACUGGGCGUAAAGCGCGUGCAGGCGGUCUGGUAAGUUGGAUGUGAAAUCUCCUGGCUCAACUGGGAGAGGCCGUUCAAUACUGUCAGACUAGAGGGCGACAGAGGGAGGUGGAAUUCCGGGUGUAGUGGUGAAAUGCGUAGAUAUCCGGAGGAACACCAGAGGCGAAGGCGACCUCCUGGGUCGCACCUGACGCUCAGACGCGAAAGCUAGGGGAGCGAACGGGAUUAGAAACCCUCGUAGUCC